rnacentral:lncRNA from 1 species
GUGCGUUUACUUAUCAUCAAUGUGCAACCGACCAGCAAAUAACAACUCACACAUCUUGGUUUUUAAGAAUAUACAAUAUUAUCGACUCACAAUCACUCGUGAUAAAAUCCAUGAAGUGAUUCUUGUGAGCGUGGGUUUAAUCCAAUGCUCAAAUCAUAUUCAUAAGCACUCAUGAACGUUGCAACAAACAUUUGCUUAUGUCUAAUACACUUUAGACAAUCCACACACCAAUUCACAACAGUCUUCAUUCAUACCUACUUCCAACAUAUGAACGACUGUGGUCCGUUCGAAUAAUUCNAGUGAUCCAUGUGAGCGUGGGUUUAAUCCAAUGCUCAAAUCAUAUUCAUAAGCACUCAUGAACGUUGCAGCAAACAUUUGCUUAUGUCUAAUACACUUUAGACAAUCCACACACCAAUUCACGACAGUCUUCAUUCAUACCUACUUCCAACAUAUGAACGACUGUGGUCCGUUCGAAUAAUUCGAUUGUUCUGAACCAAUUUAAUUAUUCAGGAAGUCAAAACAUGCAAAGUGAAACACAAGAAUCAUACUAAUCCUAUAUGGACCAAAU